CAGUAGCCGCGGUAAUACGAAGGGGGCUAGCGUUGUUCGGAAUUACUGGGCGUAAAGGGCGCGUAGGCGGCCAUUCAAGUUAGAUGUGAAAGCCCUGGGCUCAACCUAGGAAUUGCAUUUGAUACUGUUUGGCUUGAGUUCGGGAGAGGUGAGUGGAAUUCCCAGUGUAGAGGUGAAAUUCGUAGAUAUUGGGAAGAACACCAGUGGCGAAGGCGGCUCACUGGACCGACACUGACGCUGAGGCGCGAAAGCGUGGGGAGCAAACAGGAUUAGAUACCCCCGUAGUCCCUGUCUCUUAUAA
rnacentral:rRNA from 1 species